AACGAACGCUGGCGGCAUGCCUAACACAUGCAAGUCGAACGAGAUCUUCGGGUCUAGUGGCGCACGGGUGCGUAACGCGUGGGAAUCUGCCCUUUGGUUCGGAAUAACAGUUGGAAACGACUGCUAAUACCGGAUGAUGACGAAAGUCCAAAGAUUUAUCGCCAGAGGAUGAGCCCGCGUAGGAUUAGCUAGUUGGUGUGGUAAAGGCGCACCAAGGCGACGAUCCUUAGCUGGUCUGAGAGGAUGAUCAGCCACACUGGGACUGAGACACGGCCCAGACUCCUACGGGAGGCAGCAGUGGGGAAUAUUGGACAAUGGGCGAAGGCUUGAUCCAGCAAUGCCGCGUGAGUGAUGAAGGCCUUAGGGUUGUAAAGCUCUUUUACCCGGGAUGAUAAUGACAGUACCGGGAGAAUAAGCUCCGGCUAACUCCGUGCCAGCCGCCGCUGUAA
rnacentral:rRNA from 1 species